AGGGUGUUGUUAUCUUCCGGCCUCCAAUCCAUAUGUAAGGGAUGUGGCUUACAGAUCUUGAGAUUCAUUAUGCUAAGUGAUGUAAGAUAAGGGGGGAAUCCCCCUUCUCACGGAGAAAGAUUUCCUUGUUGUUGUAGAAGGUGUUGAUGAUCAAACUCAGAAGCUGGUUGAUCUCAUGGAUCACGACUCGAGUCCACCUCCUGAGUUGUAAAACAACGUUGUCGAGGUUGGUGUAUCCCGCUCUUCAAAGAAAAGCUUCUUCAAUGGCGGUCGCAGAUAGGAAGACGAAGCGGCAGCCCCUCUAGCUCUGGAAGCUUCGUUGUCAUCAGCGUUGGAGAACAGGUGAUCCCGGUUGAAAAUCUAGAACACAGGACAGAUCUGGCCAUUUUAGAAUAUAUCGUCGGUGAAAAUCGGCGAUCCGUUAGGUGCGAAAGAGAAAUCGUCUUCAUCUUCGUUCUUCUCGCAAUCACCACCGACGUCGGUGUUCUGAACACCUUCAUCCGGUAAUUGACACCUCAAAUCUACAGAGUAGCCACAGAAUUCCGCAAGCUUAAUCAUUAACUCUGUUCAUAUAAAAAAUGGAAAUUAGCACCAAAUUCAAUGAAGAAACUAAAAUCGAGUUGAAAUUCAAGUAAAUUAAGCAAAAAUAAAAAGAAAAUUAACGAAUUGAAGCAGAUGGAACAAACCUGCAAAGGAAAUGGAGGCAUCG
rnacentral:lncRNA from 1 species